rnacentral:rRNA from 1 species
GACGAACGCUGGCGGCGUGCUUAACACAUGCAAGUCGAACGGAAAGGCCCUGCUUUGGUGGGGUGCUCGAGUGGCGAACGGGUGAGUAACACGUGAGUAACCUGCCCUUGACUUUGGGAUAACUUCAGGAAACUGGGGCUAAUACCGGAUAGGAGCUCCUGCUGCAUGGUGGGGGUUGGAAAGUUUCGGCGGUUGGGGAUGGACUCGCGGCUUAUCAGCUUGUUGGUGGGGUAGUGGCUUACCAAGGCUUUGACGGGUAGCCGGCCUGAGAGGGUGACCGGCCACCUUGGGACUGAGAUACGGCCCAGACUCCUACGGGAGGCAGCAGUGGGGAAUAUUGCACAAUGGGCGGAAGCCUGAUGCAGCAACGCCGCGUGCGGGAUGACGGCCUUCGGGUUGUAAACCGCUUUCGCCUGUGACGAAGCGUGAGUGACGGUAAUGGGUAAAGAAGCACCGGCUAACUACGUG